UACGUAGGGUGCAAGCGUUGUCCGGAAUUAUUGGGCGUAAAGAGCUCGUAGGCGGUUUGUUGCGUCGGCUGUGAAAUCCCGAGGCUCAACCUCGGGUCUGCAGUCGAUACGAGCAAACUAGAGUGUCGCAGGGGAGACUGGAAUUCCUGGUGUAGCGGUGAAAUGACGCAGAUAUCAGGAGGAACACCGGUGGCGAAGGCGGGUCUCUGGGCAACAACUGACGUGGAGGAGCGAAAGCCGUGGGGAGCGAACAGG
rnacentral:rRNA from 1 species